GUGACGGUUUGCCUACUGCAUUGUUGAAAUGCACGGUCUGCACUCUCAGUGCAGGCAACAUCGUCUAAUUGUUGAGCGUACCCGGCAUCUGCCUCGGAACAAUCAGCAGCCAGAGCUUUGUGGAACCUGCGGAAGGAUCAUUA
rnacentral:rRNA from 1 species